GCCAAUAUUGUUCGAGAGUCCUACUGUAAUCUUCAAAAUGGGAAAACUGAAAAAGACUCAAAAACCUUUAUGCAAGUGAUAGUGAGGGGUCAAAAGUUUAACUUCAACCCAGUUGUAAUAAACCAAUUUCUUGAUCAUUUGGGAAACAGAGGAAAAUGCAUAAGAAAUAUUGAGAAGAUUGCCAAAGAAAUAGUGAGAAAAGUAGCAGCUAGGUUGCCUGAAGGUGGAACACUUUCCUCAACAAAACUCAUGAUGAAGUAUGCCAUUCUUCAGAAGUUAGCGGUGAGAAAUUGGCUAUCUUCAUAGCACAGAUCCAUUGUCAACAAAGAGCUUGCUCGACUACUGUACAAAAUAAAUAAAGGGACACCUUUUAACUUGGGUAAAGUGAUAUUUGAUCAAAUCAUGAGUCAAGUUGAUUCAAAUACAACGAGACAAUUUCUUCCCUUUCCAUCUUUAGUGUAUCAAUUUUUUAUGGAUCAAAAAAAUAUUCUUAUAACUAGUGAUGAAGUAUAUGUAAACCCCCCACACAUUCAAAAUAAGUAGUAACUUGUUCUCCACAAAUCGCUUCAAUGGCCUUCAAUAAAUAUCGACUUUUUAAAAGGAGGGUCAGUCAGAUCCUUCACUUAAAGUAGCUCAAAAAUAAUAGCUCUUUACCUUGCUUUGUAACAAGGUAGACGCCCUAACAGCUGACAUCCAACAGUCCAUAGCCUAAAGAAUUCGACUCUCAGAGCUGAUCUACAACAUUGAACAAACCCUUUGGUAGCCCGAAAAGCUUUUUGACAAAAAAAGGGGGGAGAUAAGAAAGGGAGAGAUAAAGUUCUGUAGUUUUUAUGUAUGGUGUUUAGUUUUGUAAGGACAUUGGAGAAAG
rnacentral:lncRNA from 1 species